AGCAGACCAAUCAGGAGUUCAGAACCGUUCCUUCCAAUCCACCAGCUAAUCCAACGUUCCAGAGACUGAGAAGCAAGAGUUUACUAAGAACAAAGCCUUUGUCGAAUUCCUACCCUCAACCUCUCUGAUCUCUCCCUUUCUUCAGCUCUCCCACCGUCAACUCCUUCCUGUUUUCCCCUUCCGGGCAUCUCCAACCCCACCCCCACUCUCUCGAUCACUUUCUAAACAAUAUUUUGUGCUCAAAAAUUAUUUCCUGGGAUUACUCUCGGCUCUGAUCCAGGGACCUUCUCUCAAACCCCAGUUCCAAGCAUCAAGAAUCCGAAAGUUUCGAUUUUUAUGGCUUUUUUCUUGGAGAAACCCUCUAUUCUACCAUGUUUCUAUCCAAUUCUCUUCUAAUCCGAGGUCUAAUCCUACAAUGGAGCUGGAAUAGGUGACAACUGGUUUUGACACCCGAUUGUGAGGAGGAAGGAUUGGUUACUUGAGGGAGGUCAUGGGUCGGGCUUCCCCUUUUAUCUUGGUCCUUCUAUCUCUGGGCUGCUUCUUCGUGACCUACAAUCUUCUGACCAUGGUGAUCCACUACCAGAGUGCAGAAGGGGACCAAGAGUUGAUCAGUGGCGGGUCUUCGACCCACUUGGACGAUUCGAAGAGAUUGAGCGAGCCCAAGAGGCUCUUCCAUGUAGCCCUCACGGCGACGGAUGCUGUGUAUAGCAAGUGGCAGUGCCGGGUGAUGUACUAUUGGUACAAGAAGAUGAAAGAUAUGGAAGGGUCGGAGAUGGGAGGGUUCACCAGGGUGUUACAUUCCGGGCACCCGGAUAAUUUGAUGGAAGAGAUUCCAACCUUCGUCGUGGAUCCCCUGCCGGAAGGUCGAGAUCAGGGUUACAUUGUUUUGAACCGACCAUGGGCAUUUGUGCAAUGGCUAAAAAAAGCAACAAUCGAGGAGGAUUAUAUACUGAUGGCAGAACCAGAUCACAUCUUUGUGAACCCUUUACCAAACUUGGCUCAUGGAAGUGACCCAGCAGGGUUUCCAUUCUUCUAUAUUAAACCAUCUGAAAAUGAGAAGAUAGUAAGGAAGUUCUUCCCAGAAGAUAAAGGCCCUCUGACAGCUAUUGACCCUAUUGGCAAUUCUCCUGUGAUUAUUCAGAAGUCCCAGCUAGAAAAGAUUGCUCCUAUAUGGAUGAAAGUUUCAUUGCAAAUGAAAGAUGACCCAGAGACCGACAAAGCAUUUGGAUGGGUAUUGGAAAUGUAUGCAUAUGCAAUUGCAUCAGCAUUGCAUGGUGUGCGACAUAUUCUUCGUAAAGAUUUUAUGAUACAGCCUCCUUGGGACUUAAAGGUUGGGAAAACAUUUAUUAUUCAUUAUACUUAUGGAUGUGACUAUUCCUUAGAGACAUGCUUUUGGUGCAAAUUCAGGGUAAAUUAACUUAUGGAAAAAUUGGGGAAUGGCGAUUCGACAAAAGAUCGUACCUUCGCAAUGCACCACCAAGAAACCUUUCUUUACCUCCUCCCGGAGUUCCUGAAAGUGUGGUCACUCUGGUUAAGAUGGUUAAUGAGGCUACUGCUAACAUCCACGGAUGGGAAGAUGGUAGAUAAUCACAGUAUCUAAGUGCUAGGAAGUAAUUCAACACAUGUAGGCUCCAUUAGAUACCAAAUGCCCAAAGAAACCACACAAGAAUGACAGGGUAGUAGUUUGAUUUAGAUAUGAAAGCUGGGGAGUAUGAAAUUUCGAUGAUUUAUAUGUCUAAAUAAUACUCUUCUGUUAACGGACAGGACUAGUUUUCAACAGAAACUCUACUGUAGUUUGACUGUUUGAGCUUCUUCAGGAUUUUGAUUUUGUAUAGUGGAUCAUUUUUGUUACAA